rnacentral:rRNA from 1 species
GGACGAACGCUGGCGGCGUGCUUAACACAUGCAAGUCGAACGGAAAGGCCCUGCUUUUGUGGGGUGCUCGAGUGGCGAACGGGUGAGUAACACGUGAGUAACCUGCCCUUGACUUUGGGAUAACUUCAGGAAACUGGGGCUAAUACCGGAUAGGAGCUCCUGCUGCAUGGUGGGGGUUGGAAAGUUUCGGCGGUUGGGGAUGGACUCGCGGCUUAUCAGCUUGUUGGUGGGGUAGUGGCUUACCAAGGCUUUGACGGGUAGCCGGCCUGAGAGGGUGACCGGCCACAUUGGGACUGAGAUACGGCCCAGACUCCUACGGGAGGCAGCAGUGGGGAAUAUUGCACAAUGGGCGGAAGCCUGAUGCAGCAACGCCGCGUGCGGGAUGACGGCCUUCGGGUGGUAAACCGCUUUCGCCUGUGACGAAGCGUGAGUGACGGUAAUGGGUAAAGAAGCACCGGCUAACUACGU